GAUGAACGCUGGCGGCGUGCCUAAUACAUGCAAGUCGAGCGAACAGACGAGGAGCUUGCUCCUCUGACGUUAGCGGCGGACGGGUGAGUAACACGUGGAUAACCUACCUAUAAGACUGGGAUAACUUCGGGAAACCGGAGCUAAUACCGGAUAAUAUAUUGAACCGCAUGGUUCAAUAGUGAAAGACGGUUUUGCUGUCACUUAUAGAUGGAUCCGCGCCGCAUUAUCUAGUUGGUAAGGUAACGGCUUACCAAGGCAACGAUGCGUAACCGACCUGAGAGGGUGAUCGGCCACACUGGAACUGAGACACGGUCCAGACUCCUACGGGAGGCAGCAGUAGGGAAUCUUCCGCAAUGGGCGAAAGCCUGACGGAGCAACGCCGCGUGAGUGAUGAAGGUCUUCGGAUCGUAAAACUCUGUUAUUAGGGAAGAACAAAUGUGUAAGUAACUAUGCACGUCUUGACGGUACCUAAUCAGAAAGCCACGGCUAACUACGUG
rnacentral:rRNA from 1 species